GCGUCAGUAGUGCAACGGGUUAGAGUACGUGCUCCUGGAAAGAGUGAGAUGCGGGUUUGAGUCCCGCCUGACGCG